rnacentral:rRNA from 1 species
CAUAGCGACUAUCGUGGCAUAUCAAUAAGCGGAGGAAAAGAAACUAACAAGGAUUCCCCUAGUAACGGCGAGUGAAGCGGGAAGAGCUCAAAUUUGAAAUCUUAAAGGGUUUCCCUUUACGAAUUGUAGUUUAAAGAAGUGUUUUCUGUUGGAGUUUCGGUAAAAGUUCUUUGGAAUAGGACAUCAUAGAGGGUGAGAAUCCCGUAUUUGACCGUUACUCUCCAGCUGUGUGAUACACUUUCAAAGAGUCGGAUUGUUUGGGAAUGCAGUCCAAGAUGGGUGGUAAAUUUCAUCUAAAGCUAAAUAUUGGCGAGAGACCGAUAGCGAACAAGUACCGUGAGGGAAAGAUGAAAAGAACUUUGAAAAGAGAGUUAAACAGUACGUGAAAUUGUCAAAAGGGAAGCGUUUGACACCAGUGUUGUUUAGUUGAAAAUCAAUUCAAUAGUUUUUUGAUUCUAAGUAGUAUUGACUUCAUCAGCUUGCUGCUUUCUUCUCAGAAAUUAUUGAAUGCACUUUUCAGUUAACAAGUCAACAUCAAUUUCUUUUGUUGUAAAAGGGUAAGAGGAAGGUGGCUUGCGCUUCGGCUCAAGUGUUUAUAGCCUUUUAUCUCUGCAAUCGGAGAGAUUGAGGUCUGCAGCGUAGAUCCUUCGGGGUUAGAUACAUUGGUGCUAAGCUAUAGCCUUGUAUAGACAACUUGUUGACUAUGCUCAGUCAUGUAGCUUACUCGCUGAUGCUAUUUUACCUACGCUUAGGAUGUUGACGAGACUGUCGAUCUC